rnacentral:rRNA from 1 species
GAGUUUGAUCCUGGCUCAGGAUGAACGCUGGCGGCGUGCCUAACACAUGCAAGUCGAGCGAUUUACUUCGGUAAAGAGCGGCGGACGGGUGAGUAACGCGUGGGUAACCUGCCCUGUACACACGGAUAACAUACCGAAAGGUAUGCUAAUACGAGAUAAUAUGCUUUUGUCGCAUGGUAGAAGUAUCAAAGUUUUUGCGGUACAGGAUGGACCCGCGUCUGAUUAGCUAGUUGGUAAGGUAACGGCUUACCAAGGCGACGAUCAGUAGCCGACCUGAGAGGGUGAUCGGCCACAUUGGAACUGAGACACGGUCCAAACUCCUACGGGAGGCAGCAGUGGGGAAUAUUGCACAAUGGGGCGAAAGCCUGAUGCAGCAACGCCGCGUGAAGGAAGAAGGCCUUUGGGUCGUAAACUUCUGUUC